CCCAAUACUCAGACUCCUUCAGAGAACAGGUUUUAUUUUUCACUGUAAGGUCAAGAGUAACACAUUGCGUUGACUAGCAGAUCCCCUUAUGCACAGAUCUAGGAUCAGCAAGCGUAGCUUCCUGAGCCCCUAACGUUAACCAUCGGGGAAACUGCAAAACUGACCUUAGAUCAGUGUCAAGGGGUAACAAACACGAAUGGGGUAACUGGUCCAACAGGCAUUACAUAGUACAGUUCAGCAUCACCAUGGAUACCUGAACACCUGGGUUCAAAUACUAUUUCAAAUAUCUCAGUUACUCUCACAUACAUUUGAAGUAAGUAUUAAGAUAUUGUUUAUUUGAAAAGACAAGUAGUUGAACAUUUUAAUGUAUUUGGAAAUACACUUGGAAAGUAUUUGAAAAUAGUCAAAUAUACUCCCAUGCAUUUAACCCAGGUAUUUGAAAAUAGUAUUUGAAAGAAGUAUCCCUGGCUCAUUUACAAUGCCCUAUGAGAUAAUGUACAUUAAAUCAACAUGCACUUAAGUAAAACAAUAUAUUGACUUAAGUCCAUGUUAAGUCUAUUUAUCUCAAGUCUGAACAGGCCCUUAGUGACCUCCACAUGUCCUUCUGUUCAGUGACAUUGGCAGGCAGAAUUACAUCAAACAAGGACUCCAUCAGUGGAGGCUGCUGAGGGGAGGACAGCUCAUAAAUAUGGCUGGAAUGGAGUCAACGGAACGGUAACAAACACAUAGAAACCAUGUCUUUGAUGUGGUUGGUGCCAUUCCAUUGAUUCCAUUCCAGACAUUACUAUGAGCCGUCCUCCCCUCAGCAGCCUCCACUGGACUCCAUGGGUGAUGUUGGAAAUCCUUGUGUUUCACGGUGAUGCUGUCAGUAGUAUUGGUACAGGAGUGUAAUCCUGUCCUGUAAUCCUCCACAAAGACAGGCUGGGAGGUUGUAAUAAACCACACACACUUACUGCAUGAAGGCUUCAAAGGAAGACAAAAUAUUUAAAGUAUUUCAUGAGAAAAACACUCCAUCAAACUAAGGAUUUUUAUUUAGUGUUCACAACUAUUUCACCCAUCAUAGCAAGAGCUCUGUGAUGCACACACACACCAAACCUCUUCGUAAGCUCACACACUCGCGUCACAUCACACGAACUCCACUCCCCUUAAACUGUGAUGAUGUUGUGUGACCACUAGGUGUCACCAAAGCACAGUAAGACAGUGAUAGGGAGGCUAAGGCGUUAUACUCCAUCAAACCUCUCAAAUCUAAAAAGAAAACAUUUACUCUCCUAACUUUAUUACAUCACUGAAAAAGGGAUGAAUCUGUCCGGAACUCUACAGCCUUGGCCCGAUUAUCAAUACAGAAAUAUUGCUCUGGUUUUCAAAAUAAGGUUACCUGACUGAGUCUGCUGCCGUAUCAAACCUGUACACUGCCUAUAUACAGACUGACAGAUCAUCUAUGUACAUGCUACAUACUCUCACACUCUGAGUAGAAGUUGCCCUUAGGUACAGAUCUAGGAUCAGCUUAUGCUCUCCAAAUCCUGACUUUAACCAUUAGGGGGGAAAGACAUAACAUAGUACUGACCCUAGAUCAGAGUAUAGGGACAACUUCAUCCUGCUCACACUCUCCCACUCACAGACUCACUGACCUGUACACAACCUGACCACUUGUAUACGAAACAGUCGUGUUUGGACCCUCUGUGCGGAAUUCAAUCUAAGUUAAAUUCCAGCCUCAGUGUGUUUUGGUCCAGUGGUCUUAGUUCAUCUGGUGCCUUCACAACACAGCAGACAACAGAGAGUAAAUGCUCUAAAACUGGGGUUAAAACUAACUAAAAAGUAGCCGAUAGGUUGCAAGAGGGUAGUCAAUGAGGUCACUUCCAAUGUUCUCCCAAUCACUGAUCAGUAAACACUAUGUGACUCCGCCCUUUCCUGUCGGCUCAAAUUGCAGCCAUUUCACAAACGUGACACGUCCAUAUAUCCCAUGAUAUAUCCAUACAAACAUGAGACGUCCAUAUAUCCCAUGAUAUAUCCAUACAAACAUGCUUUAGCUUCUAAAGGGGGGAGUGAAGUAAAGGGAAUGGUUAGGUAUUAUUAUUCGGAGGUUUCUCUUUAAACAGCACUUUAACCCACCCCCAGACUAACUAGAGGAGGGAGACAGAUACAUGAUUGAUCUGUUGACUGAUUGAUCAUGUAGAUGAUAAAGUCAUCCAUACAUCUUGUCUGAGCACAGAGCAUGUAGUGGGCCAUUUUCCAAGAGGCCCUCCUAGACAGGCUUGCCCUAUGUUAAACUCUACAAGGGGAACAUUUAGGCUACACUUCCUUUACCUUAUAACCUAGCUAACCUCAUGUUCCUGGCUUCUGGGGAACAAGACUACCUUACACCAAGAUCCACAAAACUACACUACCCAUAAGUCCUGAGCUUAAGGAAUGUGCAACACGUUCUCAGUCAAUCACCAGCAUUUCCCACGGGAACAUGGCCCGGUGACACAGAGAAUUGCAUUCUGGAAAUCAUUGCUUGUACCUUAUUACUAAAGAGUGAAAAGUAGGGUCAUAUAUACAGAUUAGAAACAAAACAAAACUAUAUUGUGUGUGUGUGUGUGUGUGUGUGUGUGUGUGUGUGUAAGGCUGUGUGUGUGUGUGUAUAAAGAGUGUGUGUGUGUGUGUGCGUGUGUGUGUGUGUAUAAGGGUGUGUGUGUGUGUGUGUGUAUAUAAGGGUGUGUGUGUGGGAGGAGCGUUGUUGUGUUUUAGAUUCAGUAUCUAAGAGGUCAGAUCAGGUGCAACAAGAACAGCUCAAUGUUAAUGAACUAUAAAUGGAACAUAUCAACCAGGUUGUCAGGGGUUCAGGGGUUUCUUUACACUGUUUUAACCCCCCUCUGUCCUGUGAGGUGAUCUUCUGGCGUGAAGUGUACCUGGGCAUCAACAACCCUCCUGUAUAUUGCUCUGUUGUGUACAUCUCUAUAGCGUGUCAUAACAGUAUCACAUCACAUCAUAUUGAUAAUAAUCUAUUCAUAAUGCAUUGUCCUAUUCUUGUGUAUUAUGUAACUUAGUGUUUCCUAGUGUGCACUUCAGCAUAGUGGCCUAGUGAAGUGCCCAUUCCUGCCCUGAAGUGUUGACUUCUGUAGAUACUGUACACUUUGAGGAAGAUAACUUUAGUGUCGUUAGUGUAUGCUUGGUACCGUAUUGGUACCGUAACCUGCCUGAGUGACUGAUUGAUGAGGUAAUUGAAUUGGGGAUCAGGUGCCAGGUCUGGGCACUGUAAUGAACAAAUGUGUGUGUAUGUGUGUGUUGGGAGGGGGAGGGGGGGGCAUGCAAUGGAUUAAAUAGUCUGAUUCUCCAGGCUCAGUAUGUAAUCCAUUCCAUUCCAAAUAUGAUUUGGAAACAAUGGAUUAGCAUCCUAUAGACACUAUUCUAUGGCUCGUGUGUUUAUCUGCGCGUGCAUACGUGUGUGUGGGGUAGAGAAAUGGACACGUACAGCGGUAGGGUCGUUAGCUAGGGGUCAAUGUUUCAGCUAUUGGCUGGGGAUAGGGCUUGAGGUGUUGGUUAGGGUUAGGGUUAGGGCUUGAGGUGUUGGUUAAGGUUAGGGGUUGAGCUGUUGGUUAAGGUUAGAGGUUGAGCUGUUGGUUAAGGUUAGGGCUUGAGGUGUUGGUUGGGGUUAGGGGUUAGGGCUUGAGGUGUUGGUUAGGGUUAGGGCUUGAGGUGUUGGUUAGGGUUAGGGGUUGAGCUGUUGGUUAAGGUUAGAGGUUGAGCUGUUGGUUAAGGUUAGGGCUUGAGGUGUUGGUUGGGGUUAGGGGUUAGGGCUUGAGGUGUUGGUUAGGGGUUAGGGCUUGAGGUGUUGGUUAGGGGUUAGGGCUUGAGGUGUUGGUUAGGGUUAGGGCUUGAGGUGUUGGUUAAGGUUAGGGGUUGAGGUGUUGGUUAAGGUUAGGGUUUGAGGUGUUGGUUAGGGUUAGGACUUGAGGUGUUGGUUAAGAUUAAGGGUUGAGGUGUUGGUUAAGGUUAGGGCUUGAGGUGUUGGUUAAGGUUAAGGGUUGAGGUGUUGGUUAAGGUUAGGGCUUGAGGUGUUGGUUAAGGUUAAGGGUUGAGGUGUUGGUUAAGGUUAAGGUUAAAGGUUGAAGUGUUGGUUAAGGUUAGGGCUUGAGGUGUUGGUUGGGGUUAGGGGUUGAGGUGUUGGUUAAGGUUAGGGGUUGAGGUGUUGGUUAAGGUUAGGGGUUGAGGUGUUGGUUAAGGUUAGGGGUUGAGGUGUUGGUUGGGGUUAGGGCUUGAGGUGUUGGUUAAGAUUAAGGGUUGAGGUGUUGGUUAAGGUUAGGGCUUGAGGUGUUGGUUAAGGUUAAGGCUUGAGGUGUUGGUUGGGGUUAGGGGUUGAGGUGUUGGUUAAGGUUAGGGGUUGAGGUGUUGGUUAAGGUUAGGGGUUGAGGUGUUGGUUAAGGUUAGGGGUUGAGGUGUUGGUUGGGGUUAGGGCUUGAGGUGUUGGUUAAGAUUAAGGGUUGAGGUGUUGGUUGGGGUUAGGGGUUGAGGUGUUGGUUGGGGUUAGGGAUUGAGGUGUUGGUUGGGGUUAGGGGUUGAGGUGUUGGUUAAGAUUAGAGGUUGAGUUGUUGGUUGGGAGUCAAGGUUAGGGCUUAUGGUUAGGGUGCAAUAUGAAAAAUGCAGAGUUCUACAGCUCAGUCUAGGGUUAGGGUCUAUCCUGGGGUGCAGAGGCUCGCGUUCCCCACCCCCCUCAUCCCUCCCUCCCUCACUUUCAACAUGCCAGUUCUCUAUCCUGGUGGUGCAGAGGCUCUCAUUCCCCACCCCCCUCAUCCCUCCCUCCCUCACUUUAAACAUGCCAGUUCUCUAGCCUGGGGAUGCAGAGGCUCUCAUUCCCCACCCCCUCAUCCCUCCCUCCCUCACUUUAAACAUGACCGUUCUCUAGCCUGGGGAUGCAGAGGCUCUCAUUCCCCACCCCCUCAUCCCUCCCUCCGUCACUUUAAACAUGACCGUUCUCUAGCCUGGGGAUGCAGAGGCUCUCAUUCCCCACCCCCUCAUACCCCCUCAUACCCCCCCACUCCCGUUAGAGCUCACUGAUACAGCAAAUCCUGUUCAAACCAUAUCCACUCAGCUGAGACCAAAGCGACCCUAAUCACUGCUGUACUCUGAGCAGUAGAAGAAGCAGCACGGAGGAUCGUUCCUCUCAUCCUCCUCUUCUUACAUAUUCACCUUCAUGUUCAAUUCCUCAAGUCUUCUCAUCCUCUGGCUUCAUUACGUUAAGUCCUUUGUUUUUCUCCAUUUCGUGUUCCUCGGUCUUGUGUUGUUGACUUGUUGUUUUUGUUUUGGGAAGUACUGUGUGUUUUCUCUGCUUUGGUGUGUGUGUGUGGCAGGGUGUGUGUUGGAUUCUUCGGGGUGAGUGUGUGUGGCAGGGUGUGUGUUGGAUUCUUCGGGGUGAGUGUGUGUGGCAGAGUGUGUGUUGGACUCCUUCGGGGUGUGUGGCGGGGUCAGUGUGUGUGUGUGUGACAGUUCUGUACGCCCCCCCCCAACCCCACCGACACUAAAACAACACACUUUGCCUCCUACUCUUCCCCUGGGCUGAGAGACAGAGACAGACAGAGAGAGAGAGACAGAGAGAGAGAGACAGAGAGAGAGACAGAGAGAGAGAGAGACAGAGAGAGAGAAAGAGACAGACAGAGAGACAGACAGAGAGAGAGAGAGAGACAGAGAGAGAGACAGACAGAGAGAGAGACAGAGAGAGAGAAAGAGACAGACAGAGAGAGAGAGACAGAGAGAGAGAGAGAGACAGAGAGAGAGACAGAGAGAGAGAGACAGAGAGAGAGAGAGAGACAGAGAGAGAAAGAGACAGAGAGAGAGACAGAGAGAGAGAGACAGAGAGAGAGAGAGAGACAGAGAGAGAGACAGAGAGAGAGAAAGAGACAGACAGAGAGAGAGACAGAGAGAGAGAGAGACAGACAGAGAGACAGACAGAGAGAGAGGAUGGAGAAAAGGGAUAAGAUGAUGAAUAGAAGGGGAAAGAACAAAAGAAAGAAACAUAAUAUAUUAGCACUGUGUUAAACAGACAGAUACCACCCCACACAGACAGAUACCACCCCACACAGACAGAUACCACCCCACACAGACAGAUACCACCCCACACAGACAGGUACCACCCCACACAGACAGAUACCACCCCACACAGACAGAUACCACCCCACACAGACAGGUACCACCCCACACAGACAGAUACCACCCCACACAGACAGGUACCACCUCACACAGACAGAUACCACCCCACACAGACAGGUACCACCCCACACAGACAGAUACCACCCCACACAGACAGGUACCACCCCACACAGAAAGGUACCACCCCACACAGACAGGUACCACCCCACACAGACAGAUACCACCCCACACAGACAGGUACCACCCCACACAGGCAGGUACCACCCCACACAGACAGAUACCACCCCACACAGACAGGUACCACCCCACACAGACAGGUACCACCCCCACACAGGCAGGUACCACCCCACACAGACAGAUACCACCCCACACAGACAGGUACCACCCCACACAGGCAGGUACCACCCCACACAGACAGGUACCACCCCACACAGACAGAUACCACCCCACACAGACAGGUACCACCCCACACAGACAGGUACCACCCCACACAGACAGGUACCACCCCACACAGACAGGUACCACCCCACACACACAGGUACCACCCCACACAGACAGGUACCACCCCACACACACAGGUACCACCCCACACAGACAGGUACCACCCCACACAGACAGAUACCACCCCACAUAGACAGGUACCACCCCACACAGACAGAUACCACCCCACACAGACAGGUACCACCCCACACACACAGAUACCACCCCACACAGACAGGUACCACCCCACACAGACAUGGUACCACUCCACAUAGACAGGUACCACCCCACACAGACAGGUACCACCCCACACAGACAGGUACCACCCCACACAGACAGAUACCACCCCACACAGACAGGUACCACCCCACACAGACAGGUACCACCCCACACAGACAGCUACCACCCCACACAGACAGGUACCACCCCACACAGACAGGUACCACCCCACACAGACAGGUACCACCCCACACAGACAAAGGGGAUCGAAACUUCCAUCUCUGAAAUACAAGUUCAUCCUAAACAUUUGAUGUCAAGUUUGAUUUAUCCGAGUUCUCCUUAACAGUAGCUCAACAUGCACAAAACCAGACCUGUACAUAAGACAACAACACAAAGUCAUCUAAAGAACUCUGUCACACACACACACUGCACCCUGUGUUCACACACACUUACAGACAAAACACAAAGGCUACAUCUCCCUCUGCAGGAACCUGAACAGAGCUGCAAACAUAAAGAGUUUCAAUCAAAAUGUCUCCUCUCGCUCCCAUCCUUCCCAGAAUGCCUUCUGUUUGACCUUUCACCCCAACCUCACUGAAAUAGAACACUGGGAGGUUUCUCUCUCAGAGAAAAGUACAAAGAAGGCAAAUGGUGGAAUGAUGAACAGAAAAACAUGGGCAGCAAGAACAGAAGGAGAGAGAGAGAAAGACAGGGAGUCAAGGAUGAAGAAGAACAUUAUGGCAAAGUGCAGGGGAAGAUACAAGGGAAAGAGAGGACAUCACCCAGGCAACAAGAAGAAGCAGAGAAUAAGUAAACAGGGACUAUAAGGCAGUAUGUCUGAAGGGGACAGAAAUACAGUUCAUACAGAGUAAUUAGAAGUGGAGAAUAGAAUAGGCACAGAUAAGCAGUGGACACAAAGAUAGACGUCUUGACAUACAGAAAGACAUAUGAACUGAAAGUGAGGAAAAUGAAGUGAAAGUGAGAGAGAUCAUGUAUUUACCAGAAUGGGAGGGGCAACUCAGCCUGUGGAGGGGGAGGAGAGGCCGUGACUCUGAG
rnacentral:lncRNA from 1 species